rnacentral:lncRNA from 1 species
CACACUUGGAGAACCACUGGUGUAGUGCAACCUGCUGAUAGCAUGCCUGGAGCCCCUGCACCCACGCGGGUGCACCCAUCCCUCAGCUACUGUGGAUAUUGGCUGCUAAUGGCUCCCAGCUGCCCCUCUGCUGGGGUCUCACCAUCUGCUGAUGGGAAGCACCUUGCCCUGGAGGUUACCCACCCCCCAACAGCGCACAGCAGGUGCCUCCCCAGCUUGAGACAGACCAGGAGAAACCUCAUCCAUGCACAUUCUCCAGAAGGGACCAGGAAUGAUGAGAUGUUCCACUUCCAGCUCUUUGAGUUUCUCCAUGGCUCCCCCACCCCACUCUCCAUCCCAUCCUCCCCUGGGCUGAGCUGACAGCUGUCAGGCUAAGAGGAGUGACAGGUGCUUUUGUGAUUAAUCACUGCAGACCACACACCAAGGAGAAGGGAAUCGGGGCGAACAGAGGGGAGGACUGGAAGGGCCCCCCCAGCCUUCUCUUGGUGGGAGUUUUCCAGGGUGGGCAUCCUCUCUGGUGUUCUCUUUGUUGCCCUGUACAAGCCUGGUUACAAGCCUGGCAUUAGUGUUUGCAAGGGAGUCCAUGGGGCUGUCCGCUUUUGAUGGGGAGAUAAGAGUUCACCUCUUUGGCCAGGUGCAGUGGCUCAUGCCUGUAAUCCCAACACUUUGGGAGACCAAGGCUGGAUUAUCACUUGAGCCCAGGAGUUCGAGACCAGCCUGGGCAACAUAGCAAGAGCCUCGUCUCUACAAAAAAUAAGAAAAAAUUAGUCAGACAUGGUGGCACUCACCUGUAGUCCUAACUACUUCUAAGGCUGAGGCAAGAGGAUUGCUUGAGCCUGGGAGGUCGAGGCUGCAGUGAACUGUGAUUGCACCACUGCACUCCAGCCUGGGUAACAGAGUGAGACCCUGUCUCAAAAAA